rnacentral:rRNA from 1 species
AAAACUAUUCAGUCUUUUGGGUAUGAAACCCAUUUGGGCGAGAGUAAUACUAGGAUGGAUUACCUCCUAGGAAGUCCUCGUGAAAGGGUUUC